rnacentral:rRNA from 1 species
UACGUAGGGGGCAAGCGUUAUCCGGAUUUACUGGGUGUAAAGGGGGCGCAGACGGCGAUGCAAGCCAGGAGUGAAAGCCCGGGGCCCAACCCCGGGACUGCUCUUGGAACUGCGUGGCUGGAGUGCAGGAGGGUCAGGCGGAAUUCCUGGUGUAGCGGUGAAAUGCGUAGAUAUCAGGAGGAACACCGGUGGCGAAGGCGGCCUGCUGGACUGCAACUGACGUUGAGGCCCGAAAGCGUGGGGAGCAAACAGG